rnacentral:rRNA from 1 species
AGCAGCCGCGGUAAUUCCAGCUCCAAUAGCGUAUAUUAAAGUUGUUGCAGUUAAAAAGCUCGUAGUUGAAUUUCGGGAUCAAUAUAUUGGUCAUGCUUAGGUAUGUACUGGUAUUAUUGAUUUCUCCCUUCUGAAGAACCAUGAUGUCAUUAAUUUGAUGUCGUGGGGAAUCAGGACUGUUACUUUGAAAAAUUAGAGUGUUUAAAGCAGGCUUUCGCUUGAAUACAUUAGCAUGGAACAAUGAAAUAGGACGUUUGAUUCUAUUUUGUUGGUUUCUAGGAUCGACGUAAUGAUUAAUAGGGAUAGUUGGGGGCAUUAGUAUUCAAUUGUCAGGGGGUGAAAUUCUUGGAUUUAUUGAAGACUAACUACUGCGAAAGCAUUUGCCAAGGAUGUUUUCAUUAAUCAAGAACGAAAGUUAGGGGAUCGAAGACGAUCAGAUACCGUCGUAGUCUUAACCA